rnacentral:misc_RNA from 1 species
GAUGAAGAACGUAGCGAAAUGCGAUAAGUAAUGUGAAUUGCAGAAUUCAGUGAAUCAUCGAAUCUUUGAACGCACAUUGCGCCCAUCAGUAUUCUGGUGGGCAUGCCUGUUCGAGCGUCAUUUCAACCCCUAAGCACAGCUUACUGUUGGGACUCUACGGCCUCCGUAGUUCCCCAAAGCCAUUGGCGGAGUGGCAGUAGUCCUCUGAGCGUAGUAAUUCUUUAUCUCGCUUUUGUUAGGUGCUGCCCCCCCGGCCGUUAAACCCCCCAAUUUUUUUCUGGUUGACCUCGGAUCAGGUAGGAAUACCCGCUGAACUUAAGCAUAUCAAUAAGCGGAGGA